AGUGGGAUUGCUGGGUCAUAUGGUAAGUAUAUGGUUAACUUUAUGAGAAACUGCCACACUGUUUUCCAGAGUGGCUGUACCAUUUUCAUCUCCACCAUCAAU
rnacentral:pre_miRNA from 1 species